rnacentral:rRNA from 1 species
CCUACGGGAGGCAGCAGUGGGGCAUAUUGCACAAUGGGGGAAACCCUGAUGCAGCGACGCCGCGUGAGUGAAGAAGUAAUUCGUUACGUAAAGCUCUAUCAGCAGGGAAGAAAUACUGACCUUACGGUCAGCAGACGGUACCUGAGUACGAAGCCCCGGCUAACUACGUGCCAGCAGCCGCGGUAAGACGUAGGGGGCAAGCGUUAUCCGGAUUUACGUGGUGUAAAGGGGGCGUAGGCGGUGCGCCAAGUCUGGAGUGAAAUGCCGCAGCUUAACGGCGGAACGGCUUUGGAAACUGGCGAACUAGAGUGCGGGAUGGGUAAGCGGAAUUCCUGGUGUAGCGGUGAAAUGCGUAGAUAUUAGGAGGAACACCGGUGGCGAAGGCGGCUUACUGGACCGUAACUGACGCUGAGGCUCGAAAGCGUGGGGAGCAAACAGGAUUAGAUACCCCUGUAGUC